GACGAACGCUGGCGGCGUGCUUAACACAUGCAAGUCGAACGGAAAGGCCCUGCUUUUGUGGGGUGCUCGAGUGGCGAACGGGUGAGUAACACGUGAGUAACCUGCCCUUGACUUUGGGAUAACUUCAGGAAACUGGGGCUAAUACCGGAUAGGAGCUCCUGCUGCACGGUGGGGGUUGGAAAGUUUCGGCGGUUGGGGAUGGACUCGCGGCUUAUCAGCUUGUUGGUGGGGUAGUGGCUUACCAAGGCUUUGACGGGUAGCCGGACUGAGAGGGUGACCGGCCACAUUGGGACUGAGAUACGGCCCAGACUCCUACGGGAGGCAGCAGUGGGGAAUAUUGCACAAUGGGCGGAAGCCGGAUGCAGCAACGCCGCGUGCGGGAUGACGGCCUUCGGGGUGUAAACCGCGUUCGCCUGUGACGAAGCGUGAGUGACGGUAAUGGGUAAAGAAGCACCGGCUAACUACGUG
rnacentral:rRNA from 1 species